UGUCCAGCACACGACUGACGCUCAUGCACGAAAGCGUGGGUAUCGAACAGGAUUAGAUACCCUGGUAGUCCACGCGGUAAACGAUGAUAACUAGUUAUUCGGCGCGAGUGAGUGCUGAGUGACCGAGCGAAAGCGUUAAGUUAUCCACCUGGGGAGUACGCCGGCAACGGUGAAACUCAAAGGAAUUGACGGGGGCCCGCACAAGCGGAGGAACAUGUGGUUUAAUUCGAUGAUACGCGAGGAACCUUACCCGGGCUCAAACGCAGCGCGACAGACCCUGAAAGGGGUUUUUCUUCGGACGCGCUGCAAGGUGCUGCAUGGUUGUCGUCAGCUCGUGCCGUGAGGUGUCGGCUUAAGUGCCAUAACGAGCGCAACCCCCAUCUUCAGUUGCCCCCGGGUAAAGCCGGGCACUCUGGAGAGACUGCCGGCGCAAGCUGUGAGGAAGGCGGGGAUGACGUCAAAUCAGCACGGCCCUUACGUCCGGUGAGGGGCGGUGGGUACAAGGGCGGGGCAACAGAGGGAAGCCAGGCGGCGACGCCGAGCGGAUCCCGAAAACCCGUCUCAGUUCGGAUCGGAGUCGGCAACCAGACUCCGUGAAGCG
rnacentral:rRNA from 1 species